GGCCUUAUACAUGCAAGUCGAGCGCAUCCUUCGGGAUGAGCGGCGGACGGGUGAGUAACGCGUGGGAAUGUGCCCUUCUCUACGGAAUAGCCACUGGAAACGGUGAGUAAUACCGUAUACGCCCUCAGGGGGAAAGAUUUAUCGGAGAAGGAUCAGCCCGCGUUAGAUUAGGUAGUUGGUGGGGUAAUGGCCUACCAAGCCUACAUCUAUAGCUGGUUUUAAGGAUGAUCACCACACUGGGACUGAACACGGCCCAACUCCUACGGGAGGCAGCAGUGGGAAUCUUGGGCAAUGGGGGCAACCCUGAUCCACCUGCCGCGUGAGUGAAAAGCCCUAGGUCUAAAGCUCUUCCCUGUGAUGAUACACGUGUAAAAACCCCGGCUAACUCCUGCCGCCCGCGGUAAUCGAGGGGGUUACGUUUUCAAUUACGGGCGUAAACGGGUAGGGGAUUGGAAAGUUGUGAAUCCUGAUUCGGCCGCUGCGUCACCAUAUGGAACUCCACCUUGAGCUGUUGAUAUUCUUUGUCCC
rnacentral:rRNA from 1 species